UCCUGAGUCUCUCCUUUUAUAGCUCCAAGGAGAGACACAGGGUACACGCGUAGAUGUUAAAGUAGGGGUCGAUAGCCGCAUGGAGCGCCGACCUACUCGAGGCUUCCGUACGGCAUGGCCUCGAGCCGUCCCAUCUUGAUAGCCCGGUGGUGAUUACGCGUGCUCCUGCGUUCUGCCCUGCCCGCCGCCUUGCGCUGGUUCUGAGGUUGCAUGCUUGUACGGUAAGGCGGCGGAUCCGGCGGGGUAACUGUGAUGUUGUCAGUCGACGCCCAACCUGUCCCUAGGAAGAGACCCUGUUCGGUCGAGGGUCGGACGCCGUGUAAUAUGCUGAUAUCUGGAGCGCUGACCUUAGAUGUCUCGAGGGGGUCCCGAUUAGACGUUCCAUCCUCGUUUCCUGCGUCCUGACACGCCCUGGGUCGUUCGGUGGGAAGGCUGCAAAAAGAUUGAUGGGACGGAAGCCUGUUCCCUAUCACGCCUCCCGUGACUUGUGCGUU
rnacentral:lncRNA from 1 species